rnacentral:rRNA from 1 species
AUUGAACGCUGGCGGCAGGCCUAACACAUGCAAGUCGAGCGGGGUUUUCGGACCUAGCGGCGGACGGGUGAGUAAUGCGUAGGAGGCUACCCGAUAGAGGGGGAUACCAGUUGGAAACGACUGUUAAUACCGCAUAAUGUCUACGGACCAAAGUGUGGGACCUUCGGGCCACAUGCUAUCGGAUGCGCCUACGUGGGAUUAGCUAGUUGGUGAGGUAAUGGCUCACCAAGGCGACGAUCCCUAGCUGGUUUGAGAGGAUGAUCAGCCACACUGGAACUGAGACACGGUCCAGACUCCUACGGGAGGCAGCAGUGGGGAAUAUUGGACAAUGGGCGCAAGUCUGAUCCAGCCAUGCCGCGUGUGUGAAGAAGGCCUUCGGGUUGUAAAGCACUUUCAGUAGGGAGGAAGCGUUGUGUGUUAAUAGUACACAGCGUUGACGUUACCUACAGAAGAAGCACCGGCUAACUCUGUGCCAGCCGCCGCGGUAACAC